rnacentral:piRNA from 1 species
UACCUCGGCCGCUUCUGGAGUGCACCCUC